GGAUGUGGUUCAGUGGUAGAGCGCUUGCCUAGCAAUGUGUGAGACACUGGGUUCGAUUCUCAGCACCA
rnacentral:tRNA from 1 species